rnacentral:rRNA from 1 species
UUUGGUGAAAAUAGCGACAGGGAUACACCUGGUUACAUUUUGAACCCAGUAGUUAAGUCUGUUUACGCCGAAGAUACUUAGAGUUAUCUAGGGAAAAUAGGAAAUUGCCAAAC